CUACAGUCCACGGGGUCAUAAAGAGUCAGAUAUGACUGAGUGACUAACACUUUCACUUUCCACCUGGCUGAGCAGGAUGGGAAUUGGAACUCUGGCAUAAUCCACCCUUACCUUUUAGAAAUGCUGGCAUGAUAAAUCUCAGGAUCUCAAAAUCAGACCAUCUUACUCUUUCAAUCAAGAUGGAUCUGCAUAUUUUAGAAUUAUAUGACAAUGACAUUAGUUGAUACUGAAUUUCAACUCAGAUCCAAGAUUCUUUACCAUCUGAGGCACCAGGGAAGCUGGGAAAAGAUUGGUGAAGGAGAACAAAAGGCCAAGCAAGACCAUAAUCUCCCAGCAGGAGCCUGGCAUCAGCACAAUGGCAUGACCAGCCCGGCAGCAGAAAGCCAGGCGAUCUCCCUGCUAGCCCUCUUUGUUGCAUGAAAAGGGCUUGGCACGAGUGCGUCUGACAAUGACCACCAACCAUUUCUUACUUUUUCCUGAGCCAUACUCAGUAUCAAAAAAGCAUCAAGGGGUGCGGUGGUUCCAUAACACACUGUGGCAGGAGAGUUAGCCCAGCAGGCAAACGUUUUGACUAAUCUGAAAUCCUUGUGCAGCAAACGUGACAAGACAAUGGCAAAAGGAGAGACCAGUGGAUGGCUGGAACUGGUUUGGGUGGCAGAGAGGAAAGAUGGGGAGAGAAGGUGGUCAAGAGGAUUCAGUAUCAUGGGCUGGAAAAGAUGGGGAAUCGUCUUGAAAGGCAACAGGGUGCUGAAAAGCAGACUGAUGGCGUCAUGAGCCACAGACCUUGACCACAGCAUCCAGCACGCUGGGUACCAGCCAGUGGAAAGAUGGCCUUUCUGUGAGAUGGGCUGGGAGCUAUCCUUU
ensembl:lncRNA